AGUGGGAUAGCUGGGUCAAAUGGUGGUUUCAUUCUAAGUUUUCUGAAGCAUCUCCACACUGCUUUCCAAAGUAGUUGCACCAGUUUGCAGUUCCACCAGCAAU
rnacentral:pre_miRNA from 1 species